rnacentral:rRNA from 1 species
GAUGAACGCUAGCUACAGGCUUAACACAUGCAAGUCGAGGGACCGGCGCACGGGUGAGUAACACGUAUCCAACCUGCCCUUUACUCGGGGAUAGCCUUUCGAAAGAAAGAUUAAUACCCUCUAUACAGGAUUGGGAUGCGUUCCAUUAGGUUGUUGGUGUGGUAACGGCUCACCAAGCCUUCGAUGGAGAGGGGUUCUGAGAGGAAUGUCCAGCAUAGUGGAACUGAGACACGGUCCAAACUCCUACGGGAGGCAGCAGUGAGGAAUAGUGGGCAAUGGGCGCUAGCCUGAACCAUCCAAGUAGCUGGAAGGAUGAAGGCUGAUGGGGCGUAAACGUCUUUUAUAUAAGAAUAUGGAUGAGAUGAAUAAGGGACGGCUAACUCCGUGCCAGCAGCCGCGGUAAUAC